AGAAACACUGCGGAACAACCAAAAUGUUACAAGUCAGGUUUCAUGCAGCUACAUGUGUACGUACCGCGGGUCGCCUGAAUCUUACCAGCAUCUUUGCUCUUUAGACUCCUGGUUGUUGGUAGAAAUGUACGUACUGUAAACCCUUAUGUAAAGCAAAGGACUAAAUGAUGACAUCAUGUUUGUCUAUUGGUAAGUAAUGACACCACGUCUCGCUAUUGGUCGGAAUAGCUUAAUUUGCAUCUGAGCUACUUGGGUAUGAAUACAGUCGUACAUACGGUUGGUUGUCACCAGACUACUGUACCCUUACAUGGGAUACCCGGGCCUUAGGUAAUAGCAUUCACAGGUUGCUAAACAAUUCAAGUUCUAUUGCAUGUCACAUAGAGACUCUGGGUAGUCUUUGCCUUCACCUCUGAAAAACAAUAUGCUUUCCAGCAAUCAUUGUCUUUUUUGUUCAACUUUGAAUCGAAGACCACAACACAGUCUACACUCAGCUAUAGCACUUAGUUCAGCAGCAUAUUGCUUAACAACUGCACCAACUCCUAGAAGCUUUGUUAGACUCAGAUCAAUAUAAAGAAGAGUUGCAGGAGCAUGGUUGCAUGGAAUCAGUUUUUCUACAGAAAGUACAAACUUGGUCUGAAUGAAUUUGCUUGGCAUCUUUUCUGAGCCUUUGACAACGCAUUCCCUUUAGUCGAUGCAUCAAGAAAUGCAUCUGCGGUUCUCAUCUGGAUUGAACCAGUUAUCAUCUGCUGGCCUGUAAGUUUGCCGGUGGGCCAGUUAAGCAACACAACACAGUGGUAAACAUUUGAAGCAACUGCCUCGACAACUUACAAGUGUGCCAUUGCAAGGAGCUCAGAAACCAAUAUUUAGAGACAGAUGAUAGACCAGAUCUAGUCGUCUUUGAUACAUCCAGAGGCACCAACACUGAGUUAGAUGUCAGUAUGGCUAACCGCUGGAGCAGAGACAUUCUUUGAAAAGCCGCUGACAUUCUUUGAAAAGCCGCUGAAGAUGCAGGAUAUACAAAAGACAAACGCAAAAUGAAAGAGUUUUAUAAAUGGAAAAGAGCUGACCGUAGGUGAAUCAACUACACUUCUUUGGGUAUUUGAACAAUUCUUUGGUUUUGGAGAAACAAAGCUGAUGAGUACCUUAACUUCCUUUCAAAGAUGAUGGACCAUGGCUUGAGCAGUGUCACUUACAUUGUAAAUACAAAAUGUGUAAAACUCUAUUUCUCUCUACAAGUUACUGCUAUGCAUCUAUCCCAACUUAUCCAUGUGGAGAGCUUGGAUUUGUCCUCUCAAGCAUCAGUUCUGAUGUGAGGUUCGACCAUCCACUUCGUGAAGUGUCCCAGGAAAUGGUAAGAAUGAUGGGCUUCAAGUACUAUAACUCAGAUGUCCACAAAAGCUCAUUUGUUUUGCCACAGUUUGCAAAAGAGACACUUGGCAUCUCAUGACAUCCUUUUUUUAUGAAGACACUCAAUGUUUAAAGCAGCACUGGUCAUAACAGAACAUGAUUGUAACUUGACUGGACAUUGCAUUCAGGUUUGUCAGACUUUGCAUUGUAGACCUGAACGGGUGUUCAAUUGUUUGACAUGAACAUAAUUCUUGUAUGUAACCAUAGUGUGUUCCAACAAUCCACCAAUGCCGUAGUUUUGAGUACUACUUCAUGCUGAGACUCCUUUCUUACGCUUUAAUUGUUUCGUAUUUGAUAAUCCAAAUUAAGCAACAUGAAAACAGU